rnacentral:rRNA from 1 species
AAGGUGGGAUGACGUCAAAUCAUCAUGCCCCUUAUGACCUGGGCUACACACGUGCUACAAUGGUUGGUACAACGAGUUGCGAGUCGGUGACGGCGAGCUAAUCUCUUAAAGCCAAUCUCAGUUCGGAUUGUAGGCUGCAACUCGCCUACAUGAAGUCGGAAUCGCUAGUAAUCGCGGAUCAGCACGCCGCGGUCGAAUACGUUCCCGGGCCUU